rnacentral:tRNA from 1 species
CAAAGAAUAGUUUAAGUAGAAUCUCGGCUUUGGGGGCCGGGGGUAGGGGUGGAAUUCCCUUUUCUUUGA